AAAGGCGGCGCAAAGGGACCGAGACCAGAGAGUGACCCAGAAGUGGGGUGGGGACCUCCUCAGGGUGGACACGGAUGGUUGGAGAGAGACAGAUUUACUAAAGAGGUAAAUAAAUCCUCGGAAGCCGAGUGCUGGAGGCGGCCGAGAAGCUGUCAGGGCGCGGCCGUCGCCUCCUCAGGGAAAGCUCUGAGGCAUGGAAGGGCCGCCGGGACCCGCCGGUGCAGGAGCCCGCGAGGGAAGCCGUGUGGGGCGGGGCGCAGGCCUAGGAGGCAGCAGUUGCACCCUGGGGUGAGGGGAAAGGAAGUAGCCAGAGUGAAGGCUUUGAGCGGGUGAUGUCUGUUCUUCGCCUGAAGUGCAGGACCCUUACCACUUCACCCCGAAUCUUCGCUGUUUUCUCCACCCUGAGCUUGCCCCAAAUCUAACCACAGGCAGACACACCCAUAUAAGGGCGGAACUUGGGCAAUCUUAAAAAGAAGUCAUUAAAAAUAAACUCCCUGGGCUUUUAUAGCAGCCUUUUUGUAAAUUAUUUUUAUUCAACAGAGAUAGGGGCCUGCUUUAGAAAGUAGAUGGACAGUGUGCGUGUUGCAGUCUAUUUAAAUUAUGUAUUGGUAAGGUCAGCUCUCCAUGAACUUUGAAAUCAUGUAAUUGUUUCAAAAGCGAAACCAUUCACUUAAGACUUGUUUUAACCAACCUAUACCUCCAUCCCCACCCCGCGCCUUCCAGAGUAAUUAAAUGUAAAUAUAUAUAAAUGUAUACAGUAAGUCCCUGACUUAGGAGCUUUCGAGCUUCAAACUUUGACAGGUGCCAAGGGACCUCCGAUUACGAACAUUCAUAAAUGCAAACAAAUUGCGGAAGUAGCGCGUGUCCGCUGGACGUUGUCACAGUUGUGCCGCUUGUGCUUACUGCAUAGUGUGAUAGUGUAAUACUACUCAAACAUCGGGAUCUUUUUUCAAGAGUGUAGACAAUUGAAUCCAUCAAAACUCCUGUGUCGGCCAGGUGUGGUGGCACCUGCUUGUAACCCCAGCACUUUGGAGCCUGAGGCUGCGAAUUCAAGGCCUGCCUGGGCUACAUAGUUCAAAGGCAGCCUGCACUAUACAGUGAGACCCUGUCUCAAAAAAUAAACAAAAAACCCCUGUUUGAGCAGAAUUCUAUCUUGCCCUCCAUCUGCCAUUGCAGAUGGUCCUUCAGCUCCACCUUCUCCUCCCACCCUCCCUCUUCCAGUUAGUAAGGCUCUUCUUGUCAGUUGACCCCAUGUGCCAGUUGUAGUGUACCAUCAUUUUUUUUUGAGGCAAGACAUUUAUUUGUACCACCAUUUUAGGGUAACUAUAAAGUAAAAAUUGUUUGUUUAGAGUAUUUGUGUGUGAGUGUGUGUUUGGUGUUUUUAUGCUUUACAUUGUGUAUCUGUGUCAAAGGUAUAAGACUCACUUUGUCCAACUUAACAAAGGAAUACGACUUAGGAAGCGUCUCCCCAAACAGAACUUGUCCCUAAGUCGGAGACUAACUCUAUAUGCAUUUCUUUCUUUGAUGCGGUCAGGAAAAGUGUCCAAAAUGUGGAAAUGGGCAAGAGAGAUUACUGCGUGUCCUUUCAGUGGGGUGCUGGAUUGGGUGCUGUUUGUUAGAACUUCACGAGAUUAUCUGAUUCUAAAGUGUCUGUACCCUCGUGGACUUCCUAUUGACUAGGAAUGGCUUGACUGUCUCAUUUUCAUGAGCCUGAGGUACUCUGGUGUUGGACUUUUUGCUUGACAUUUGCAUGAACAGGAAUAGUUUACAUGUUUGAAGUUUAUGAAUUCUAUCAGUUAAAAAGUUGUGGUUUUCAAACUGAUGAAAGUAAGAGUCCCGUCUGUUAACAGCCUACUCCACCCGCACACAUCUACCCCUAGCUGAUGACAUCUGAGAACACUUGAAGGCCACUGUGAAAGGAGACCCAGCACUCCUCCUAGAAUGAAAUCAUCAUGUCAAGCAAUUUGGGUCCUGUCCUGGAGAAAUGUCCCUGCUGCUAUAUCUAGGUAAUAAACAUGGACCGACCUUCCUCCCUUUCUUUCUCUUUCUUUCUUUCUUUCUUUCUUUCUUUCUUUCUUUCUUUCUUUCUUUCUUUCUUUCUUUUGUUCGUUUGUUUGUUCAUUCUUUCUUUCUCUCUCUCUCUCUCUUUUCUUUCUUUCUUUCAUCUAUCUAUCUAUCUGAGACACGGUCUCACUGUGUAGCCCAGGCUGGCCUUGCAUUCAGCUAGCCUCCUCUUGCCUCAGGAUGGUGAGUACUGAGAUUACAAGUGUGCAUUACCAUGCGACUGCAACAAGCCAUAUUCAAACCAUAGCACCCACCCAAAACACCAGUGUUCUCAGAAAAGCAAAACAAACACAGGCAGGAAGGGACAGCUCAGCAUAGUAGGCAGAGACCCUCAGCUCCCUCUGCUUAUGACAGCACCCUCCCGCUCACUUUACAUUGGCAAGCACACCCUGAAGGGACUCAGAUACCCUGUGCUCCCAACAGCAGGACCUGGGGCAGCAGGAAGAUUUGGGUUUGGGGGCAAAGUUCAGACUCUACCAGACAGGAUAAGGCAGCAGCUGGUAUAGCAUCCAUCCUCCCUGACC
ensembl:lncRNA